rnacentral:rRNA from 1 species
GACGAACGCUGGCGGCGUGCUUAACACAUGCAAGUCGAACGGUGAAGCGCCUUCCUUUUUGGUGGGUGUGGAUGAGUGGCGAACGGGUGAGUAACACGUGAGUAGCCUGCCCCCUUCUUCUGGAUAACCGCAUGAAAGUGUGGCUAAUACGGGAUAUUCUGGGUCUGUCGCAUGAUGGGUCUGGGAAAGAUAUUGUUUCGGUGGGGGAUGGGCUCGCGGCCUAUCAGCUUGUUGGUGGGGUGAUGGCCUACCAAGGCGGUGACGGGUAGCCGGCCUGAGAGGGUGGACGGUCACACUGGGACUGAGACACGGCCCAGACUCCGACGGGAGGCAGCAGUGGGGAAUAGUGCACAAUGGGCGCAAGCCUGAUGCAGCGACGCCGCGGGAGGGAUGGAGGCCUGCGGGUUGUGAACCUCUUUCGCCAGUGAAGCAGGCCUGCCUCGUUUGUGGGUGGGUUGACGGUAGCUGGAUAAGAAGCGCCGGCUAACUACGUG